CGGGGCGUGGCGCAGCCCGGUAGCGCAUCUGACUGGGGGUCAGAGGGUCGCAGGUUCGAAUCCUGUCGCUCCGACCA
rnacentral:tRNA from 1 species